GGCUCGUUGGUCUAGGGGUAUGAUUCUCGUUUAGGGUGCGAAAGGUCCUAGGUUUAAAUCCCGAACGAGCCC
rnacentral:tRNA from 1 species